GGUUAAGCGACUAAGCGUACACGGUGGAUGCCCUGGCAGUCAGAGGCGAUGAAGGACGUGCUAAUCUGCGAUAAGCGUCGGUAAGGUGAUAUGAACCGUUAUAACCGGCGAUUUCCGAAUGGGGAAACCCAGUGUGUUUCGACACACUAUCAUUAACUGAAUCCAUAGGUUAAUGAGGCGAACCGGGGGAACUGAAACAUCUAAGUACCCCGAGGAAAAGAAAUCAACCGAGAUUCCCCCAGUAGCGGCGAGCGAACGGGGAGCAGCCCAGAGCCUGAAUCAGUAUGUGUGUUAGUGGAAGCGUCUGGAAAGGCGCGCGAUACAGGGUGACAGCCCCGUACACAAAAAUGCACAUAUUGUGAGCUCGAUGAGUAGGGCGGGACACGUGGUAUCCUGUCUGAAUAUGGGGGGACCAUCCUCCAAGGCUAAAUACUCCUGACUGACCGAUAGUGAACCAGUACCGUGAGGGAAAGGCGAAAAGAACCCCGGCGAGGGGAGUGAAAAAGAACCUGAAACCGUGUACGUACAAGCAGUGGGAGCACGCUUAGGCGUGUGACUGCGUACCUUUUGUAUAAUGGGUCAGCGACUUAUAUUCUGUAGCAAGGUUAACCGAAUAGGGGAGCCGAAGGGAAACCGAGUCUUAACUGGGCGUUAAGUUGCAGGGUAUAGACCCGAAACCCGGUGAUCUAGCCAUGGGCAGGUUGAAGGUUGGGUAACACUAACUGGAGGACCGAACCGACUAAUGUUGAAAAAUUAGCGGAUGACUUGUGGCUGGGGGUGAAAGGCCAAUCAAACCGGGAGAUAGCUGGUUCUCCCCGAAAGCUAUUUAGGUAGCGCCUCGUGAAUUCAUCUCCGGGGGUAGAGCACUGUUUCGGCAAGGGGGUCAUCCCGACUUACCAACCCGAUGCAAACUGCGAAUACCGGAGAAUGUUAUCACGGGAGACACACGGCGGGUGCUAACGUCCGUCGUGAAGAGGGAAACAACCCAGACCGCCAGCUAAGGUCCCAAAGUCAUGGUUAAGUGGGAAACGAUGUGGGAAGGCCCAGACAGCCAGGAUGUUGGCUUAGAAGCAGCCAUCAUUUAAAGAAAGCGUAAUAGCUCACUGGUCGAGUCGGCCUGCGCGGAAGAUGUAACGGGGCUAAACCAUGCACCGAAGCUGCGGCAGCGACACUAUGUGUUGUUGGGUAGGGGAGCGUUCUGUAAGCCUGUGAAGGUGUGCUGUGAGGCAUGCUGGAGGUAUCAGAAGUGCGAAUGCUGACAUAAGUAACGAUAAAGCGGGUGAAAAGCCCGCUCGCCGGAAGACCAAGGGUUCCUGUCCAACGUUAAUCGGGGCAGGGUGAGUCGACCCCUAAGGCGAGGCCGAAAGGCGUAGUCGAUGGGAAACAGGUUAAUAUUCCUGUACUUGGUGUUACUGCGAAGGGGGGACGGAGAAGGCUAUGUUGGCCGGGCGACGGUUGUCCCGGUUUAAGCGUGUAGGCUGGUUUUCCAGGCAAAUCCGGAAAAUCAAGGCUGAGGCGUGAUGACGAGGCACUACGGUGCUGAAGCAACAAAUGCCCUGCUUCCAGGAAAAGCCUCUAAGCAUCAGGUAACAUCAAAUCGUACCCCAAACCGACACAGGUGGUCAGGUAGAGAAUACCAAGGCGCUUGAGAGAACUCGGGUGAAGGAACUAGGCAAAAUGGUGCCGUAACUUCGGGAGAAGGCACGCUGAUAUGUAGGUGAAGUCCCUCGCGGAUGGAGCUGAAAUCAGUCGAAGAUACCAGCUGGCUGCAACUGUUUAUUAAAAACACAGCACUGUGCAAACACGAAAGUGGACGUAUACGGUGUGACGCCUGCCCGGUGCCGGAAGGUUAAUUGAUGGGGUUAGCCGCAAGGCGAAGCUCUUGAUCGAAGCCCCGGUAAACGGCGGCCGUAACUAUAACGGUCCUAAGGUAGCGAAAUUCCUUGUCGGGUAAGUUCCGACCUGCACGAAUGGCGUAAUGAUGGCCAGGCUGUCUCCACCCGAGACUCAGUGAAAUUGAACUCGCUGUGAAGAUGCAGUGUACCCGCGGCAAGACGGAAAGACCCCGUGAACCUUUACUAUAGCUUGACACUGAACAUUGAGCCUUGAUGUGUAGGAUAGGUGGGAGGCUUUGAAGUGUGGACGCCAGUCUGCAUGGAGCCGACCUUGAAAUACCACCCUUUAAUGUUUGAUGUUCUAACGUUGACCCGUAAUCCGGGUUGCGGACAGUGUCUGGUGGGUAGUUUGACUGGGGCGGUCUCCUCCUAAAGAGUAACGGAGGAGCACGAAGGUUGGCUAAUCCUGGUCGGACAUCAGGAGGUUAGUGCAAUGGCAUAAGCCAGCUUGACUGCGAGCGUGACGGCGCGAGCAGGUGCGAAAGCAGGUCAUAGUGAUCCGGUGGUUCUGAAUGGAAGGGCCAUCGCUCAACGGAUAAAAGGUACUCCGGGGAUAACAGGCUGAUACCGCCCAAGAGUUCAUAUCGACGGCGGUGUUUGGCACCUCGAUGUCGGCUCAUCACAUCCUGGGGCUGAAGUAGGUCCCAAGGGUAUGGCUGUUCGCCAUUUAAAGUGGUACGCGAGCUGGGUUUAGAACGUCGUGAGACAGUUCGGUCCCUAUCUGCCGUGGGCGCUGGAGAACUGAGGGGGCUGCUCCUAGUACGAGAGGACCGGAGUGGACGCAUCACUGGUGUUCGGGUUGUCAUGCCAAUGGCACUGCCCGGUAGCUAAAUGCGGAAGAGAUAAGUGCUGAAAGCAUCUAAGCACGAAACUUGCCCCGAGAUGAGUUCUCCCUGACUCCUUGAGAGUCCUGAAGGAACGUUGAAGACGACGACGUUGAUAGGCCGGGUGUGUAAGCGCAGCGAUGCGUUGAGCUAACCGGUACUAAUGAACCGUGAGGCUUAACCUU
rnacentral:rRNA from 1 species